rnacentral:sRNA from 1 species
GACUUCUAACCAUGCUACCUCUUAGGCUGACUGUAUACUGAGGUUGAAGCCAAUCCGACAGAUGUUUCAUCCUCUCUUACUCAUGAAUUGGGCCUGACGCCGAUGUAAACAAAGAUUAGGAACUUAGACAUACACUUCACUAGUUGGCUAGGGAUGAGUGUGGGCUGACCCGUGGAUACUCUUUUACCCACACUAGUUCAACUAAAUGAACUAAAUUUCACUUUUAGAAUCACAAAAAAUGAAAUGUAGUUCGUUUAUUUGGACUAGAGUGGGUCAAUUAGUACCUAUGGGUUGGCCCGUGGCCAGUCUUGGCCGCAUUCAUGCAUCAUAGUACGCUACUGAGCACAUCUUCUUUCAAAGUAUUACACGGAGAUGUCUAAAAAUUUGAGCUAAAUGACUGGGAGGUUUAUUAGUGU